UACGUAGGGUGCAAGCGUUAAUCGGAAUUACUGGGCGUAAAGGGCCAGUAGGCGCCAACUAAGUCCGACGUGAAAUCCCCAGGCUUAACCUGGGAACUGCGUCGGAUACUGGAUGGCUUGAAUUCGGGAGAGGGAUGCAGAAUUCCAGGUGUAGCGGUGAAAUGCGUAGAGAUCCGGAGGAACACCAGUGGCGAAGGCGACACGCUGGGCCAUACCUGACGCUAAAGCGCGACAGCAUGGGGAGCAAACGGG
rnacentral:rRNA from 1 species